UACGAAACGACGACCACCCGCUGCUUAAGUGGCUGGAGUAAAACCAGCGGCCUCGUGAUUCUCUACUGACAACGCGCAAAUGAAAACAAUUAUAAUCAUUACUAACACCCGAUUCCUCAUCAAGAUUCAAUAAUACUCCCGAACCUAACCUACUAAAACAAAAUCACGAUGUUACCUGACGAAACAACUACGACAAACCAACACUGAAAAUCAAUCAAACAGCAAGAGAACGAGAAGCAAAGUCGUGAAGAGAGAAUCAAUAUAAGACCAGAAUGGCAGCCAAAAUAAAAUAGAAAAAAAACAUAAAAGAUCAAGAAUCAAAAGAAGAAUAGAAAGGAACAAAAUAGAACCGGUUGCAAAAUAGGGUAAAUGGCUGCAUGAAAAUGGGCUAAUAUUUGUUUGUCACAAUUUCACUAUGCAUGCAAAAU
rnacentral:lncRNA from 1 species